AGUUUCUCCUCUUCCCAAUUACGCGGCGCUCCCCCGACUAUAUAAAGCAAUCUCAUUCAGCAGAUGUGUCGUCUGACACUGAAGUGUCUUCCCAUUUGUUAAGCACGCGUUUAUUACUUUUACUUAAAUUCUUUUCAAAUGGCAGUUAUAAGACCGAUUUUAAGUAGAGUUCAUACGAUAGUAAAUCCCUCUACUUCGCUAGUUCUGAGACAUUAUAAUAAAUCAAGUUCAGUACUUGGAAGGUUUGGUAAGGCUCGGCCGCCGGUUGCUCAAAAGCACUUGUUUCUUAAGGACGAAAAUGCAAGAGACUUCAUAUACACACUAAAGCCGAACGAACGGAAAAUCUUGUUAACGGAGCUUACUAAAUUCGAAGAGGAAAGAUUAAAAACAUUAGAUAUCGAUGGCCCGCCUGCAUUAACAUCUUCACAAAUCCGAAUGUUAUUUAUACACAAUGCUCUUCCAUUUGUUGGCUUUGGAUUCUUGGACAAUGUUUUAAUGAUAGUUGCGGGAGAAUAUAUUGAUGCAACUUUUGGUUCCUUACUUGGUAUCUCUACAAUGGCUGCUGCAGGUCUUGGGAACAUGGUUUCAGAUGUUGCAGGAAUUGGGUCUGCUUGGUAUGUUGAAGUAUUGGCGGUUAGGGUUGGUUUUCACAUGCCCACUUUAACCCCUCAACAAGUGGAUAUGAGAAAAACACGUUGGAUUGCUAACUUGGGCAAAGUGAUUGGCAUUACAGUUGGAUGCUUGAUAGGAAUGUUUCCUCUACUGUUCUUUAACUACGACAAGCAUAAUGAAUCACAAGAAAGUCCAGCAGAACCUGCCGCUGAUACAGAAAAGAGCUAGAUAGAGCAAGAUGAUUGACAGAUUAUCAUCAGUAAUAUUAGUGAGAAAGAGGAAACUGUUGGUAACAUUAGGAAAACAAAUAUUUGAAGAUGGCAACUAUUAUGAAAUUUUGUCAAUUGUGUAAGAGUUAUCACAUUAUGUAAAAUCCAUAAUAGAAAUAGCAUGAAUACUGUGAUUAUUUAAAACUUUCUUGUAUACAAAUAUUCUCACAGAAAUCAGUGGAUGUAUGUAUGACAAAUAAAACUGUUGUGCAUAUCAUGUGGGUGUAAUUUUCCUUAAUUUCAAAGUGAAGUUUGUUAUUAGAUGAAGUAAUAAAGACUGAUAAUGAAGAGCCAGCAUGAAUUCAAGACAUUUUUAGAGGUUGAAAGAGAAUGAAAAUACAAAUGUUCUGGAUUUGAAUAAAUUUAAGAUCUAUAAGGAAGAUUCUUUAUUUUAUUUUCAUUUUAUCUUUAUUUCAAUUUUUUUCCUAUUUAUAACUGCUUAUUUAUCUUCUUUUAGCAGAGAAAUAUAACUCACUAAUUAGAGUUUAUAUACUUCUGAGAUGAACCUCCAUUCAAUUACAAUAUUAAUAUUGAAAUUAUAAAUGGCUACAGUGAUGUAUGGUAAUCAGAAAUUAAGUGUUAUCAAUCAUCAAUUAAAAAAAAAAAUGCACAAUUAAUUUAAUCAGGAAUAUAAAUAAUAGCUAUCAUUGUUGGAGUGGAGUACUGAAAACUUAUUUCAAGGAAGUAAGAACUGGCUUCAGUUUUGAUUGUAGUUUUAAUGUUUUGUGGCUGUUUUUAUAACAAGAUGUCUUAUGACAAUUUCCAGAUUACUAGGUUACCACUUAACUCUUCAUGUCAUAUGUUCAAGUUGACCCUUUGAAAUUCUCUCCCCAGACCAUUCACUUUAAGUGAAAAUUACUGGUAUGAGGGCUGAGUAAAAAUAGAAAUAGGUUGAUUUGAACCUGUACCACAAGCUUGACUUGCAGACAACAUAACAUCGUCAUAUAAUGCUUAUACACAAAAUGGUUAUUCUUACCUUAAAUCUAAAACAAAUGGAAAACUCUGAUUAAAUUUCACUUAUUUUAGUUGUUAUGAGUUUACUAACUUGUUGAAUAGUCACUAAGUAUCAAUACAAGAAAUAUUUAGUUUUCAGUAAAGUCAAGCUUAGUUAUAACUUAAUUGUUUCUUGAGAACUAGAAUUUCUGAGUGCAUGAGCUUUUGCAAUGCUCUAACACUCAGAUUGCCAAUGACUAUACUGCCCCCCCCCCCGACCAACUUGUGUCUACUACAAUACUUCAACACAUCUUUCCUUCUACACUCACCAACCUUAUUGUCUUCACACCAUGUAUCUGUACCAUCCCAUUUCCUCUCAAGCUCUAUAAAGCCAACAAUGCUGGUCACCUCAUUGUUUCGGCUUGCAACUGCCCUACAAAACCUACUUCUACAUACAUGAACCAACUCUUUUUACUAUUGAUACUAUCCUUUUCCUUCUCUUCUGGUCCUCCUGGCCAAUUCCAAUCACUUUUUGCUGUUGAUACUAUCUCCUCACCAUAAUUCCCUUCUUGUAUUAAUGGACACAUAGUCCUCACAUUCUUUCUGGACUAUUGCACUAAACUCAAACUUGGCAUCCUUUACUCUGCCUCACUGAACUAAUCUUUCUUUUUCAUCAACUUCUUUUUGUGGGUGUUUUAAUAUCAUAUUAUUGAGAUGAUCAUGGGCACUAAUUAUGCCAACCUUUUGGUUAAUCUGAGGCCUAGAUCUUAAUUUGUUUCAUUGAUUCUAUCCCAGAAUUCUCUUCUGUCAUCUAUAACAUCUUACUCCCAUCAACUCUGAUAUCUCCAUGUCAUUUGACAACCCCAACCUCUCUACCUAUGCCUUUUACAAACUUACUGUUCGUACCUCAAUUUCCUUGCAUCCUACCUCACUCACAAUAAAUCAGUUAUCACCUGCUCACAAUUCUGUCACUUCUGUCUGUUUAGACUCUUUCAAGGCUUAGGCCCUUUCAAAUGAUCUACUUUUCAACUUACAUUGUUACCUCAACCAGCUAUCAAUGUACUUCAACUAUUGACUAUACUUCUAUCAUUUUUACCUGUACCCACCCCAUCAACAAUAUUUCCUUCACCUCUCAUCCUUCCAUCUGACCUUCCUGGUACACCAUUCCACAACCCAAUCUCUCCAGCACACUGUCCUCUUCAAUGUCUGUCUUCUCUAAUCUGGCCCUGUUCCUGCUUCAAGAUCUUUCUCUUCAUACAGAUCAUUACUACUCUGCAAUGUUCCAGAUCCACUUUCUAUGUCACUGACUGCUUUACUUACACUUCCAAAUAUGUUAUCUGUUGUAUCAAAUGUUAACUUUUUGGCAUAUUAUAUAUAGGAGAAACUGGUUGGAAGUUAGUUGAUCAUUUUAGAGAGCAUUUGUUGGAUGCUUAACAAAAUAGUAACCGAUCACUUAAAAUCGUUGCCUACUACUUCAAUACUGCAAACCUCCUUCAUUUUACUGUUUUUAAUUUCUUACCAUCACAUUCUCCUGCACCUAAACUCUUUUGUGAACAACUGUUAAUUUUCUGUUUAGAUACACUACAUUCUUAACUCUCAGUAAUUGACCAGCUUUCUUCUAACCCAUACACCUAUAUUUUCACACUGAUAAACAUCCACACAUCUUCACACGACCCCUUUUUCAAUCCACAACAAUACAUACAUGAUACCUUGUGUAUU
rnacentral:misc_RNA from 1 species